CCGCGGACGUUUUGCCGGGAGAUCCGUAGGGCUUCCCGAGACCGGGGCCGCCCGGCGAGACGUCUUCUCCGGCUCCGUACGCAUUUGUCUCUCGUCCGAAGGACGCCGCAGCCGGUCCGGCAGUGCAAGCGCGACGGCCUGAAGGUCGGGAGCCGGCAGGUGGCCGGUGGCGCGCCCCGUGCGCGUCGCCGGUCGUUAGCCAUCCCGUCGGUGGCCCGUCGCCGGACCGUGGUGUCGCGAGUCCCCGUGACAGGGGACUCCUCGUCUCCUCCCCAACAGGGACGCGGGACGGAGCGUGGCAGGGGUCUUCCGCCGAACCCUCGCACUCCCUCGGAGUGGUGGGCCAGGCGUCGGGCCCCGCUGGUCGCGUCGGACCCGCGGGGGGACAGGAGGCUGGCGGCGAGUAGGUCGGUCACCCACCCGACCCGUCUUGAAACACGGACCAAGGAGUCUAACAUGUGCGCGAGUCAAUGGGUCUUGAACAGGCCCAGGGGCGCAAUGAAAGCGAAGGACCGCCGAGCGCGGUCCGAGUCGGGAUCCCGGCCCGCGAAGGGUCGGGCGCACCGACGACCCGUCCCGUCCGGCUCGCCGGUGGGGCGGAGUCUGAGCGUACACGUUGGGACCCGAAAGAUGGUGAACUAUGCCCGGACAGGACGAGGCCAGAGGAAACUCUGGUGGAGGUCCGCAGCGGUUCUGACGU
rnacentral:rRNA from 1 species